UUAAGCGACUAAGCGUACACGGUGGAUGCCCUGGCAGUCAGAGGCGAUGAAGGACGUGCUAAUCUGCGAUAAGCGUCGGUGAGGUGAUAUGAACCGUUAUAACCGGCGAUUUCCGAAUGGGGAAACCCAGUGUGUUUCGACACACUAUCAUUAACUGAAUCCAUAGGUUAAUGAGGCGAACCGGGGGAACUGAAACAUCUAAGUACCCCGAGGAAAAGAAAUCAACCGAGAUUCCCCCAGUAGCGGCGAGCGAACGGGGAGGAGCCCAGAGCCUGAAUCAGUGUGUGUGUUAGUGGAAGCGUCUGGAAAGGCGCGCGAUACAGGGUGACAGCCCCGUACACAAAAAUGCACACAUUGUGAGCUCGAUGAGUAGGGCGGGACACGUGGUAUCCUGUCUGAAUAUGGGGGGACCAUCCUCCAAGGCUAAAUACUCCUGACUGACCGAUAGUGAACCAGUACCGUGAGGGAAAGGCGAAAAGAACCCCGGCGAGGGGAGUGAAAAAGAACCUGAAACCGUGUACGUACAAGCAGUGGGAGCCUCUUAAUGGGGUGACUGCGUACCUUUUGUAUAAUGGGUCAGCGACUUAUAUUCUGUAGCAAGGUUAACCGAAUAGGGGAGCCGAAGGGAAACCGAGUCUUAACUGGGCGUUAAGUUGCAGGGUAUAGACCCGAAACCCGGUGAUCUAGCCAUGGGCAGGUUGAAGGUUGGGUAACACUAACUGGAGGACCGAACCGACUAAUGUUGAAAAAUUAGCGGAUGACUUGUGGCUGGGGGUGAAAGGCCAAUCAAACCGGGAGAUAGCUGGUUCUCCCCGAAAGCUAUUUAGGUAGCGCCUCGUGAAUUCAUCUCCGGGGGUAGAGCACUGUUUCGGCAAGGGGGUCAUCCCGACUUACCAACCCGAUGCAAACUGCGAAUACCGGAGAAUGUUAUCACGGGAGACACACGGCGGGUGCUAACGUCCGUCGUGAAGAGGGAAACAACCCAGACCGCCAGCUAAGGUCCCAAAGUCAUGGUUAAGUGGGAAACGAUGUGGGAAGGCCCAGACAGCCAGGAUGUUGGCUUAGAAGCAGCCAUCAUUUAAAGAAAGCGUAAUAGCUCACUGGUCGAGUCGGCCUGCGCGGAAGAUGUAACGGGGCUAAACCAUGCACCGAAGCUGCGGCAGCGACACUAUGUGUUGUUGGGUAGGGGAGCGUUCUGUAAGCCUGUGAAGGUGGCCUGUGAGGGUUGCUGGAGGUAUCAGAAGUGCGAAUGCUGACAUAAGUAACGAUAAAGCGGGUGAAAAGCCCGCUCGCCGGAAGACCAAGGGUUCCUGUCCAACGUUAAUCGGGGCAGGGUGAGUCGACCCCUAAGGCGAGGCCGAAAGGCGUAGUCGAUGGGAAACAGGUUAAUAUUCCUGUACUUGGUGUUACUGCGAAGGGGGGACGGAGAAGGCUAUGUUGGCCGGGCGACGGUUGUCCCGGUUUAAGCGUGUAGGCUGGUUUUCCAGGCAAAUCCGGAAAACCAAGGCUGAGGCGUGAUGACGAGGCACUACGGUGCUGAAGCGACAAAUGCCCUGCUUCCAGGAAAAGCCUCUAAGCAUCAGGUAACAUCAAAUCGUACCCCAAACCGACACAGGUGGUCAGGUAGAGAAUACCAAGGCGCUUGAGAGAACUCGGGUGAAGGAACUAGGCAAAAUGGUGCCGUAACUUCGGGAGAAGGCACGCUGAUAUGUAGGUGAAGCGACUUGCUCGUGGAGCUGAAAUCAGUCGAAGAUACCAGCUGGCUGCAACUGUUUAUUAAAAACACAGCACUGUGCAAACACGAAAGUGGACGUAUACGGUGUGACGCCUGCCCGGUGCCGGAAGGUUAAUUGAUGGGGUUAGCGGUAACGCGAAGCUCUUGAUCGAAGCCCCGGUAAACGGCGGCCGUAACUAUAACGGUCCUAAGGUAGCGAAAUUCCUUGUCGGGU
rnacentral:rRNA from 1 species